CAGAGAACUUGCCCUUUGGGGUAAAUCUCCCACCCUUUGUUUACAACACCAUGUUGCUUUGGCAGGCCCGUCUUUUGUGACCACUGGCCUUGGCUGGUCCGUGCUUGCCAGAGGAUUCAAAACUCUAUUAUUUUGUGUUCUGAGUUUAGUUUCAAUAGUUA
rnacentral:misc_RNA from 1 species